rnacentral:rRNA from 1 species
UACGGGAGGCAGCAGUGGGGAAUAUUGCACAAUGGGGGAAACCCUGAUGCAGCAACGCCGCGUGAGUGAUGAAGGCCUUCGGGUUGUAAAGCUCUGUCUUCAGGGACGAUAAUGACGGUACCUGAGGAGGAAGCCACGGCUAACUACGUGCCAGCAGCCGCGGUAAUACGUAGGUGGCAAGCGUUGUCCGGAUUUACUGGGCGUAAAGGGAGCGUAGGCGGAUACUUAAGUGGGAUGUGAAAUACCUGGGCUUAACUUGGGUGCUGCAUUCCAAACUGGGUGUCUAGAGUGUUGGAGAGGAAAGUGGAAUUCCUAGUGUAGCGGUGAAAUGCGUAGAGAUUAGGAAGAACACCAGUGGCGAAGGCGACUUUCUGGACAAUAACUGACGCUGAGGCUCGAAAGCGUGGGGAGCAAACAGGAUUAGAUACCCUGGUAGUCCACGCCGUAAACGAUGGGUACUAGGUGUAGGG